AGUAAAACUGAGUUCAUGCCUGUACUGACAUUAAGCACCUUGAUGUGGGUGUCAAGUGCCACAGCCACAUUUGCUAUGACUUUCUCUGCCUCGAUGUCUGUCAUAGAAUAUUACCUUCUAAAGCGUUUCCCAGUUCCUUACGCUCUCUACUUCUUUGCGGUGUCUAUUGUUGCCGCCUUUAUAGGGCAACAUGUGGUAAGAAAGUUGAUUAGUAUAUUAGGGAGAGCAUC
rnacentral:misc_RNA from 1 species